rnacentral:sRNA from 1 species
UUUUUUCUUUCUUCUUUUU